UCGUCUUGAUUGGCAGAUGUAAAUAAACGGUGGAACGGCUGUAAAAGAGCCUUGCCACUGGGUAAAAUCAGGAUGUGCCGCGGAACCCGCUCCUCAGUCGGUCAACUUUGGAAGCGCGGGCAACGCAGGUAUUAUCGUCUAAAGGGCCGGGUGCAACCGGCCC
rnacentral:sRNA from 1 species